UACGGAGGGUGCGAGGCGUUGUCCGGAAUCACUGGGCGUAAAGGGCGCGUAGGUGGCCUGUGGAAGUCUGCGGUGAAAGCCCGGCGCUCAACGCCGGGUCGGCCGUGGAUACUCUCGGGCUCGAGCUUACUAGAGGCAGAUGGAAUUCCGGGUGUAGCGGUGGAAUGCGUAGAGAUCCGGAAGAACACCAGUGGCGAAGGCGGCUCACUGGCCCGGUACUGACGCUGAGGUGCGAAAGCGUGGGGAGCAAACAGG
rnacentral:rRNA from 1 species